rnacentral:rRNA from 1 species
AGUGAACGCUGGCGGUAGGCCUAACACAUGCAAGUCGAACGGCAGCACAGUAAGAGCUUGCUCUUACGGGUGGCGAGUGGCGGACGGGUGAGGAAUACAUCGGACUCUACUUUUUCGUGGGGGAUCACGUAGGGAAACUUACGCUAAUACCGCAUACGACCUACGGUUGAAAGCAGGGGAUCUUCUGACCUUGCGCGAUUGAAUGCGCCGAUGUCGGAUUAGCUAGUUGGCGGGGUAAAGGCCCACCAAGGGGACGAUCCGUAGCUGGUCUGAGAGGAUGAUCAGCCACACUGGAACGGAGACACGGACCAGACUCCUACGGGAGGCAGCAGUGGGGAAUAGUGGACAAUGGGCGCAAGCCUGAUCCAGCCAGACCGCGUGUGUGAAGAAGGCCUUCGGGUUGUAAAGCCCUUUUGUUGGGAAAGAAAAGCAGCAGGUUAAUACCCCGCUGUUCUGACGGUACCCAAAGAAGAAGCACCGGCUAACUUCGUG